GCAUGGGUUUGGAUUUUUGACAGGCUCAUCUCUGUGGGCCUCUCAUAGUGCCCCAUGCCAGAGCCAAGUAUUACCCCGAACCAUUGCCUGGCCUCUGUGUCCAUAGGCUGCUAGCACUGAAGUGGGUUGCACAAUG
rnacentral:snoRNA from 1 species